ensembl:lncRNA TTN-AS1 TTN antisense RNA 1
AGAAAAAUGAUUAGUCAUAUAGAAAGUAAUUGACAUAUUGUGCAUCCUGCAAAUAAAUGUUACACGGCAGUUGGUAGCUUUACUUUGAAAUGUAAUCUAUCCAAGUUUCUGUGUAGCUAUAAAGAAAGUUUGACUACAAGAAUGAAUUCACAUCAGUUGGCUGUCCCUCUUUCACAUGGAAUUUAAUAAGGCUUCUUAGAGUUUUCUGUGCUUGAAAGAGAGGCAAAAAAACGAUCUAAAGGCCUUAAACAUGUAAGGAAGAAGGGUGAGGAGAUACUUACGAAGGACCAUUAAGGAAGCUGUAGCUGAACACUGGCCACGGAAAUUUUUGGCCUUAAUUGUGUACUUUCCACUGUCGCUGACUGAUGCAUUUCGGAUUUCAAGGGAGUAUACAUUUCUGGAGCGGCUUAUGCUGACAUUUGAAGAAAUAGAAAUCUAAGACAAAGGAAAAAGAAAAGAAAUGUUGAAGUUCUUCAGAUGUGGAAGACAUGGUGAUCACAGGAUCUGGUUUGCCACUGAAAGGAAUCUUGAUGCUGACCACUUCACCUCGGAGAGCAUGAACUGCUCCCAUGCCUUCAAGAGUUUUAGUGGGUAACCAGGAUGGAACUGCGGUGUUGCUUGCAGGAGAAGCUUACUACUGGUUUCUACUUCUCCAACCUCAUUGGUGGCUAUGCAGGCACUGUCUCCAGACUGUCUAUAUUCAACCCAGUAUCCAAGAAUUUCUUUACCACCAUCACAUUCAGGUUUCU